GACGAACGCUGGCGGCGUGCUUAACACAUGCAAGUCGAACGACGUGGCGCACGGGUGAGUAACGCGUAAUCAACCUGCCCUUCAGCGGGGGACCACAGUUAGCAACGACUGCUAAUACCGCAUACUUCAGGAGGGGCUUGCGUCUGAUUAGCUAGUUGGCGGGGUAACGGCCCACCAAGGCGAUGAUCAGUAGCCGGUCUGAGAGGAUGAACGGCCAAAUUGGGACUGAGACACGGCCCAGACUCCUACGGGAGGCAGCAGUGGGGAAUCUUCCGCAAUGGACGAAAGUCUGACGGAGCAACGCCGCGUGAGGGAUGACGGCCGUCGGGUGGUAAAGCUCUGUUAAUCGGGACGCGGUACCGGAAUAGAAAGCCACGGCUAACUACGUGCCAGCAGCCGCGGUAAUAC
rnacentral:rRNA from 1 species